rnacentral:rRNA from 1 species
UACGUAGGCAGCAAGCGUUGUUCGGAGUUACUGGGCGUAAAGGGUGCGUAGGUGGCUCUAUAAGUAUGGUGUGAAAUCUCCCGGCUUAACUGGGAGGGUGCGCCGUAGACUGUGGGGCUAGAGUGUGGGAGAGGAAAGUGGAAUUCCUGGUGUAGCGGUGAAAUGCGUAGAUAUCAGCAGGAACACCCGUGGCGAAGGCGGCCCCCUGGGCCGUACCUGACGCUGAGGCGGCGAAGGCUAGGGGAGCGAACGGG